rnacentral:snoRNA from 1 species
UCUGCCCCUUGAGGUGUUGCAGUCCGACUAUGUGUUGAGCCUGUGUCAUGAGGGGCGGAGAGUGAAACCGGGCUACGUCUACGCCAAGGACCCAGGACAGUGGGUACUUGCAUGACUAUGGCGCCGAUAUU